GACGAACGCUGGCGGCGUGCUUAACACAUGCAAGUCGAGCGGUAAGGCCCUUUCGGGGGUACGACGAGCGGCGAACGGGUGAGUAACACGUGGGUGACCUGCCCUUAGCUCUGGGAUAAGCCUGGGAAACUGGGUCUAAUACCGGAUAUGACUCCAUAACGCAUGUUGUGGGGUGGAAAGCCUUGUGCGGCUAGGGAUGGGCCCGCGGCCUAUCAGCUUGUUGGUGGGGUGAUGGCCACCAAGGCGACGACGGGUAGCCGGCC
rnacentral:rRNA from 1 species